UGCAGUCGAGCGGAUGAGAAGAGCUUGCUCUUCGAUUCAGCGGCGGACGGGUGAGUAAUGCCUAGGAAUCUGCCUGGUAGUGGGGGACAACGUUUCGAAAGGAACGCUAAUACCGCAUACGUCCUACGGGAGAAAGCAGGGUACCUUCGGGCCUUGCGCUAUCAGAUGAGCCUAGGUCGGAUUAGCUAGUUGGUGAGGUAAUGGCUCACCAAGGCGACGAUCCGUAACUGGUCUGAGAGGAUGAUCA
rnacentral:rRNA from 1 species